ensembl:lncRNA
CAUCAGAGAAGCAAAAACAAAAUGAGUGCUCUGUAUGGAAAAAUUGCAUGCCCUGAUGCUUUACAGGGCAUGAGCAGUUCAGAAAGGCACAGAUAUCUGCCUCCAGCUCAGACCCAAUGACAACAGUAAUGGGGAUCAGUCUCCCUUUGCCCAGUACCUGCUACCCAUUUCCCUAGUGGGAAAUGACUUUCUGGAAGAAUCACCAAGGGAGACAGUAUGAAAUACAGGUCUGCUCCUUUUCAUGAGCAAUAUGAUUUCAUUAUUAAAACCUGUGUCUAAGGAAGUUUGAUGACAAAAAUGCUAAAAGACAAAUACAGUCUGGCUGGCACAUUGACUCAGCAUUAUUAAAUUAACAAUUCUUCUAAUUGAAUCAUUUUGUGAACUUCUGACUGCCUGCAGAAACAUCACGAGCAUCACAAAUACAUGGAUCCGUGAUAGGCUGAGGCCAGUCCAGAUGCUGUUUCUCUCCUGGAAGGGCUCUUCAUCCAUUGACUGCUUUGCUCUUCUUCCCUGCCAGCUUUCAGCCAGAGCAGUCAGCAGAGGUGGCUCAGCUGGGCCAUGCAGCAGCUGGGUGCCGGGAACCUAAGAGAGAACACAUAACCUGGACAAAAGAGGGGGAAAGCUGGACUCCUUCUUCAUCAGUGGCUCACAGUGUUAAUUGGUAGUGAAACUGCACCCCAGAAAUACCUGUUAUAAAGUGAUCUGGGGAGCUGAUAAGUCUGUACAUGGAAAUAGAAGACACUUCAUGCAUCUGUGCUGCUGUUCGUUUGUGCCAAGGAAUAUUCAUCUUGGGCCAGAGAAACUUGGAAGCCAAUCCUGGGUCCCACUCCAACCUUUGCCUCAAGUUUCCUGUGAGGUCUGAAUGCUGGACUUUCAGAAGUGCUGUGAGCCUGGGUACAAUUUGUUUGGCACAUUUGGCCUAGGAUUCCAAAGGUAUGUUCAGUCCUUCUUACACACAAUCUAGCCUUAUAAACCCUCUUUGUGAAUAGACUUAUCUUGAAAUACUGUCUUUAUGCUCUCAUAACUUCUACUUUCAGGAAAGCUGGAAUCGUAACAGAAUCAGAACAUAUAGGCUCUAGAUUGCCUACAAUGCUGAUAUCUUCUAUAAGGCAAAGGUAUAUAAAAGACCAAUGUAAUGAAAACAAGCAAACUGUUCCUCCUUAUUUAUGCAGGAAGAGUUGUUGUAGUGUUCCUGUGCUGCUGGCUGUGGAGGUGCAGCCGUAGGGCCGGAGGCUGAAUGCCUUUCACAGUCCAUGCCAUGAUCUGCAUUUCACUGCAUGGCUUUCCUCAAAGGUCAUGAGCCUUCAGCUGAAACCACCCUACAUCACUGUAAUGAGGAUGAGCAUAUAGGUUUCCCUCAGUCACUGUAUGUUGACAGUCUCUGGCAGCUGCAGCAGAUUUGUGUUCUCAUCCUGGAGUUGGUAAAAGGGAGUCAUGAACCAGGCAAUGAGAAACUCAGGGAAACUCCUUAGUUUUCCUGAAUUCUUGCACAAAUUCUCCUUAAGGGAACAAGGCUGUGACAAUAGGGAUCUCUAAGCACACGUUAAGUGAUUGUUCACCUGUGUUAAUGGCACCUCUGUGAUGUAAAUGAGAGAUACAAACAAAAAAACUUAGAGUUAAG